rnacentral:lncRNA from 1 species
UCUCGCUCUCUCUCUCUCUCUCUCUCUCUCUCUCUCUCUCUCUCUCUCUCUCUCUCUCUCUCUCUCUCUCUCUCUCUCUCUCUCUCUCUCUCUCUCUCUCUCUCUCUCUCUCUCUUCUCUCUCUCUCCGUUCUCACUCCUGUUUCUUUUUCUCUCUUUUUCUCUCUGUCACUCUCUCUCUCUUCUUUCCUCACUCUUUUCUCAAUAUCCUCCUGUCUCUCUCUCUCUCCUCUCACCCUCUUAUCUCUGUUUCUGCAGGAGGGUAGAGACAGAGGUAGGGAGGGGAGAGACAGAGGUAGGCAGGGUAGAGACAGAGGUAGGGAGGGGAGAGACAGAGGUAGGGAGGGGAGAGACAGAGGUAGGGAGGGUAGAGACAGAGGUAGGGAGGGGAGAGACAGAGGUAGGCAGGGUAGAG